CAUACUACGCUAGAUGCAUAUCAAUAAGCGGAGGAAAAGAAACUAACAAGGAUUCCCUUAGUAACGGCGAGUGAAGCGGGAAGAGCUCAAAUUUGAAAUCUUCAAGGUUCUACCUUGACGAAUUGUAGUUUAUAGAAGUGUUUUCUGUUAGUGGAGUGGCAAAAGUUCUUUGGAAUAGGACAUCAUAGAGGGUGAGAAUCCCGUAUUUGGUCAUUCCUCCUAGCGUUGUGAUACACUUUCAACGAGUCGGAUUGUUUGGGAAUGCAGUCCAAAAUGGGUGGUAAAUUUCAUCUAAAGCUAAAUAUUGGCGAGAGACCGAUAGCGAACAAGUACCGUGAGGGAAAGAUGAAAAGAACUUUGAAGAGAGAGUUAAACAGUACGUGAAAUUGUCAAAAGGGAAGCGUUUGACACCAGUGUUGUUUUUCCGAAAAUCAAUUAAAAAUUGAUUCAUGCCUAGGUUGUAUUGACCUUAUCAGCUUGCAAUUUAGUUUUGGGUCUCUUUUUGAUGCACUUUUCGGUUAACAAGUCAACAUCAAUUUCCUUUGCUGUAAAAAGGUAAGAGGAAGGUGGCUUCAAUUUCGGUUGAAGUGUUUAUAGCCUUGUAGCCUCUGCAAUCGGAGAGAUUGAGGUCUGCAGCGUAGAUCCUUCGGGGCUAGAUACAUUUAUGCUAAGUUAUAGCUUUUCAUAAACAACUUGUUGACUAUGUUUAGUCAUGUAGCUUACUCGUAGUGCUAUUUUACCUACGCUUAGGAUGUUGAUCUCUCACAGUCGAGC
rnacentral:rRNA from 1 species